CCGGUACAACAAGACACCCUUACCUUUUUUACUUUACUCUUCUGGGGUCAAACCUUUCCCCCCUCUCUCUCUCUGAGAGUUUGAGAAGAGUCCCCUCCACCAAUUUUUUAAUAUGUGAACCGUUAAUACUCCACCUGCUACUAGAGAUCUUCGCUGCUUUCAGCAAAGAUCUCUCUCUGUGUCUCUCGUCAGAUCUCUCCAAUUUCUACAGGCAGACGUAGGAUCUCAGCAAAGCACCAAGCAAGGAUUCCGAUCCACGUUCCCGAUAAAAUCCUCUACCCACCAGUUUCAGACCUCCCGAUUUCUGCAGUCAUGGGGUGUCGCUCGAUUCCCAGAACGAUUGCGUACUCCCUCCCCCUCAUAUUGCUCCUUAUCCUCGCCGUUUCUGCUCAGGAGUCUGGGUUUGAAGCUGAGAGGGGAGACUCCAGGGGAUCCAAAGAUCUGGGCCGUCGGAGCAAGAUUAAAUUGGGUAUUCUUGAAGUUAAUACUCUUGGCGUCAAGACAGAGGGUGACUCAGUUGCUAUUGGUCUCCACGUGGACUCAGGUCUUGGAAUUUUUGAUGCCUUUAUCGCAAGCUUAUCAAUGAUACUAGUCAGUGAGAUCGGAGAUGAAACCUUUAUAAUAGCAGCUCUUAUGGCAAUGCGUCACCCCAGGUCAAUUGUCCUAUCUGGUGCACUUUCAGCCUUGUUUAUAAUGACGGUACUUUCCACUGGACUUGGUAGGAUUGUGCCAAACUUGAUAUCAAGGAAGCAUACAAAUAGUGCAGCUACAGUUCUAUAUUUAUUUUUUGGACUGAGGUUACUUUACAUUGCUUGGAGAUCAUCAGAUUCUAAAUCUUCCCAGAAGAAAGAAAUUGAAGAAGUUGAAGAGAAACUUGAGUCUGGACAGGGAAAAACACCCUUCCGCCGUUUCUUUUCCAGAUUUUUAACACCCAUCUUCUUGGAGUCAUUCAUUUUAACGUUUUUAGCAGAGUGGGGAGAUCGCAGCCAAAUAGCGACAAUUGCUCUGGCAACCCAUAAAAAUGCAGUUGGAGUUGCGGUGGGUGCAACACUAGGACAUACAAUCUGCACGUCUGUGGCUGUGGUAGGAGGGAGUAUGUUGGCAUCCAAAAUCUCCCAACGGACAGUCGCAACAGUUGGAGGCUUGCUCUUCCUAUGCUUCUCCGUGUCGUCUUACUUCUAUCCUCCUCUCUAAGUGCAAACUGUGAACCCUAGGCUAACCUCAAAUGAGUCCCUGCCUGUUACCCUUCAUGCCAAAUCUGUCAAGAAUGGUACCUUGGACAGUUUGGAUGUGAGGAACUAUGUCACAUUUUUGUAUGUGAAAUAUAGCAACUUGGCCUAUGCACACAAGUUGUUUGAUGAAAGUCCUGACAGAGAUGUCCGGUCGUGGACUAUACUUAUAUCGGGGUUUGCUCGAGUUGGAUCGUGCAAAAUGGUGUUGGAACUUUUCAAAGAGAUGCAGUUUGAUCGUGUUUGUCCGAACCAAUUUACGUUGUCAAGUGUUCUAAAGAGUUGUUCUAGUUUAAGCGAUUUUCGGACUGGGAAGGGAAUUCACGGAUGGAUUUUGAGACAUGGGAUUGACUUGGAUAUGGUGUUAGAGAACUCGAUACUCGACGUUUAUGUAAAAUGUGGCGGCUUUGAUUAUGCAGAGAGGUUAUUUGAAGCUAUGGAAGAGAGAGACACUGUUGCUUGGAAUAUAAUGAUGGGUGCAUAUAUGCAUGUUGGGGAUAUGGAGAAGGCUCUUGAUUUGUUCAGAAGAUUGCCCUUCAAAGAUGUUGCUAGUUGGAAUACAAUCUUAUACGGGCUAAUGCAAAACGGGCACGAAAGAUAUGCAUUGGAGCUGCUCUAUGAGAUGGUGGAAAAUGGACCGCCAUUUAAUCGAGUCACUUUCUCCGAAGCUCUGGUUUUGGCUUCAUCUUUAUCUGUUUUGGAACUGGGGAGACAAAUUCACGGCUGUCUUCUAAGGCUUGGUAUUCCAAACGAUGGAUUUCUGCAAACUUCCUUAAUAGAUAUGUAUUGCAAGUGUGGUAAGAUGGAGAAGGCGACGCUAGUAUUCAAAACAAUGCAUUUGAGAGCAAAUUCUAAGUUUACUUGUCAUGAGAUGAAGACGGAGAUUGUAUCAUGGAGUUCAAUGGUUUCCGGAUAUGUUCAUAAUGGUGAGUAUGAAUAUGCUUUGCUAACUUUUUGUUCUAUGGUUCGUGAAAGGAUUCUGGUGGAUAGAUUUUCUGUGACGAGUGUUGUUUCUGCAUGUGCUAACGUUGGGAUUUUGCUUCUUGGUCAGCACAUUCAUGCUCACAUUCAGAAAAUCGGGUACAAAAUUGAUGUCCACUUAGGUUCCUCGUAUAUUGAUAUGUAUGCUAAAUGUGGGAGCCUAAACGAUGCUCGGAUGAUCUUUAAACAAACUGGCGAUCUAAAUGUUGUGUUGUGGACUUCAAUGAUUUCCGCUUGUGCUUUACAUGGGCAAGGCAAGGAAGCUGUUCAGCUUUUUGAACUCAUGAUAAAAGAGGGAAUUAAGCCGAAUGAGGUUUCUUUCGUGGUGGUUUUAAAUGCCUGCAGCCACGCCGGGCUCCUUGAAGAAGGCUUCAAGUAUUUCAGCUUGAUGAAAGAAGUUUAUGGCAUCAAGCCUGGAGCUGAACAUUUCACUUGUAUGGCUGAUAUUUAUGGUAGAGCAGGUCGCUUGGAUGAGAUUAAAGAGUUCAUUCAAGCAAAUGGCAUCUCUCACCUGAGUUCAGUUUGGAAGUCAUUUCUAUCUUCAUGUCGGGUUCAUAAAAAUUUCGAGCUGGGAAAGUGGGUUUCCGAAAGACUACUCCAACUCGAACCAUUGGACGAGGGAUCUUAUGUUUUAUUGUCAAACAUGUGUUCCGUGAAUCAUAGAUGGGAAGAAGCAGCUGACAUAAGGAGGUUGAUGCAAAAGAGAGGAAUCAACAAAAUCGCUGGUCAGUCUUGGAUUCAACUAAAAAAUCAAGUCCACUCUUUCGUCAUGAGCGAUAGGUCCCAUCCACACUCCACACAGAUAUAUUCGUAUUUGGAUGAGCUGAUUGGAAGACUGAAGGAAAUCGGGUACUCAUCAGACAUGAAAAUGGUGAUGCAGGACGUCGAGGAAGAACAACAAGAAGUACUUCUCAGUCAUCACAGCGAAAAGCUUGCAGUUGCCUAUGGCAUCAUAAGCACAACUUCUGGGACGCCAAUUCGGAUCAUGAAGAACCUCAGAGUGUGCACUGAUUGUCAUAACUUUAUCAAAUAUACUUGUCAGCUUUUAGAUAGGGAAAUAAUUGUUAGAGACAGUCAUCGCUUCCAUCAUUUUAAACAUGGUCUCUGCUCCUGUGGAGAUUACUGGUAAGAGCCUAAUGCAACGAGUUGUGCAAAUCAUUCUAGUCA